CCUACGGGAGGCAGCAGUGGGGAAUUUUGGACAAUGGGCGCAAGCCUGAUCCAGCAAUGCCGCGUGAGUGAAGAAGGCCUUCGGGUUGUAAAGCUCUUUUGUCAGGGAAGAAACGGUGGUUCCUAAUACGGACUACUAAUGACGGUACCUGAAGAAUAAGCACCGGCUAACUACGUGCCAGCAGCCGCGGUAAUACGUAGGGUGCAAGCGUUAAUCGGAAUUACUGGGCGUAAAGCGUGCGCAGGCGGUUAUAUAAGUCAGAUGUGAAAUCCCCGGGCUCAACCUGGGAACUGCAUUUGAGACUGUAUGGCUAGAGUGUGUCAGAGGGGGGUAGAAUUCCACGUGUAGCAGUGAAAUGCGUAGAUAUGUGGAGGAAUACCGAUGGCGAAGGCAGCCCCCUGGGAUAACACUGACGCUCAUGCACGAAAGCGUGGGGAGCAAACAGGAUUAGAUACCCUGGUAGUCCACGCCCUAAACGAUGUCUACUAGUUGUCGGGACUUAAUUGUCUUGGUAACGCAGCUACGCGUGAGUAGACCGCCGUGGGAGGUACGGUCGCGAGAAGUUAAAACGUUAAAACGGUAAAGUUAGUACGGCGUGAGACGUAGACCGACGGACGACGACGAGGGAGGUUAGG
rnacentral:rRNA from 1 species